AUGCAGAGUAAUACUCCAGCUGUCUCGGGAACACGCCGGCCUGACGGGCUGAGGCAGGAUGGAAGUUUCUGCCCCAGCACGGGAGCCAGGCCCAACCCCCCCAUGCUGUUUGUGUUCUCACUGAGCCUGCUUCAGCGAGGUGAGGACUGGUUCAGAGGAAGAGCUGACAAAAAUAAAACCAGAGCGAUGAAGUGCUGUGCAGGAAGUGGCAGGCUGUGGAGCGGUGCAGAGCACAGCAUCGUUGCAGGUGAAAGACAAGGCCUCCAGGAAGAAGGUGAAAUCUUACUGUAAGAGAUAACACACCCAAAAAAAAUUAAAAAAAAAAAAAAAAGAGAUAACACACCCACUACACACAAUAUACUACACCCAAACACCCACACAUACACCACACAACACAUACACACAGCAUGCACAACACAUACAUGUGUACCAUACACACAUACACAUACCACACACACAUGCACAGGCCACACACACAUACACAUACUAUACACACCACAAACAAUACACUACACACAUAGACCACACACAUGCACACACCACACACACACACACACACCACAGACAUACACACAAUAUACUGCACACAGUAUACUACACACACACCACACACAUAUACACACUAUACAACACAUACUACACAUACCACGCACACAACACAUACACACCACAAACACAUAGAUGCUAAGUUUAAGGCAUUUAUGAAUCAACAACUCUGUAUUUCACAGUUCUUCCUUUGGCUGUUCCCUAAUUGGAAACAGAUUGCCUUUCCCCCUGUUUAUGGGGCAGAGUUCCUCUAAAUGUGGGUCUAUUCAUGGUGAUUUUGUUUCCUUUCCUCAGUCAACAGUCACUCGACACCAUUACCCGGGUGUUCUCUGCAGCUCUGUCCUUUUAUUAGUUCAUAAAUCUAGGAACUGGGGGAAAGUUUACAAAAUUUCAUGAAGACUCCACCAUUUAUUGAGUGACUACUGUGCCUGGCACACUCCCUGGGGUCUGAGCCUCAUCACACCCUGCAAGAUACUCCUAUUAUUCUCUACACAAAAGAUAAGGAAAUUUAGGCUCAAAAAGAUCAAAAAUUGCCUAAGACCUCACAAGAAGUAAGGGGCAGGAUUUGGAAUUAAGUGACCUAUUAGCCUGAGCUGCUUCCACUGCCCACUGCCUCCUGGCAACAUAAAACCCGAUUUACUCUUGAGGAGUCCCAAUCCACUGUCCUGAAUACCACCCAGGCUAUUCCCCUGCCGAGUUUCUACUUGGGCUUCCUUUUGGCCCAAGCUCCCUCUUCUCCCUUCUGACCUCUUCCCUCUUGGGAGCCACAGGCUUUGCCCAUUUGGAGCUGUGCCCUGCAGGCAGAAGGCCGGAGGCCUCUACUUCCCUUGCCCCCACCAGCAUGGCCAACACAAACUUCUCACUGGAAAACACUGUGUCCUGUAGACAACGGCUCUGUGUGAAGUUCUAGUACCUGCCUGACAGGUCUUCUGUGAAAAGACCCAGCUGGGGUAGCUGGGCUGCCAGGCCUAAGACAGGCAGAGUUCAUAAAUAGCUUCGUCAGCCAUGGAGCUGAGGCUGGGCUGGAGCCAAGUGCUGCCUGCCUCAGUGGUCUUGGCCAACCAGAGCCCUUUUCUGAGAAACCAGAAUUUUCAGGAGCUGUGGGUAGAGGGGCUUCACAACAGAAAAUUGGUUGGAUUCAGGCAUUCCCAGGUUUAAAUCCCAGCUCUACCACCUUCUACUUGUGUGACUUUAGGAAAGUAGCUUCUGCUGGCAGCUCCUCAGCCCUGUGGGAGAGUUCCUGGUUCGAUUUAACAAAUUUUAUUGAACACCCCAUGACAUCCUGUACUGUUUUAAGACUCAGGGUACAAAGAUAAGCAUAGGCCCUGCCCUUAAGGAGCUCACAGACUAGACCAGUAGGGAUGAUAAGACCUAUAAAAAUAAGUAUCAUAUGCAGUUGGAAGUGAUAAGUGUAUUAGGAGGGGUAUAGAUAAAACCAUGAAGGUUGAGAGCAGAAAGAGGGUGAUUCUGGGGUGGGAGGGAGGUAAAGCUGUGGCCAAUCCAUAAGGGGUCUUGAGUGAUAGUUUGGACUUUGUAGUGCCAGGCUGUUGGGAACCAAUUAAAGGCUUCUGACCACAGCAGUGGACAGAUCAGAGCCAUGGGGGCUGGAGCCUUUUUUUCGACCUCCGCCACCAGACCGUGGCAUUUCUAAAAGGGAAAGACUCAGGUUCCACCAUUUUAAAAGGGCUUUGUUCUCUGAACGAAAUAGUUUAGGACUUGAAACAUGCAGUGGUCAAAAGGUGUCCUCUAUUCUUUGUACUGUGACCCAAUGCCCACCAUCUCUCUCCUCUGGGCCUUCUCAGCCAGCCAUCUCCUUGUGUUAAAGAUGUGAGAUUGAGGCAUAUGGGGCCAGAGGCAGGCACCCAGCUCAGGGAAAUUGUCCUGGCUUGACAAACCGAGUGCCCUGGGACCUUUGCUGCCCUGCCAGUUUGUCUUGGCCCAGCUCACAGGCUUCUGGGAAGAAGUUGGCCUGUUGAGGAAAGGAUGUGUCAGUGAGUUGUAGUUGGCUUAAUUUCCCUGAGGUGUGUGUGUGUGUGUAUGUGUGUGCACACAUAUGUGCAUAUGUACUCAGGACUAGGUGUUUUGCAGAAAAUUUCAAUUUAGGUCAGAACUAAGCAGCCCUUAGUACAUCAAUAUCCAGAGAAGAUAAGCCUGAACAGUCCUCUCCAGGAAUGAACAGCAAUAAACUAGGCCUCCUGAUUGUAAACACAACAGUUUACCAAGCUCUCUAUUAGCAGAAGGGAUCCAGGUGGGUUGUGCAUUUGGUUGAGCCUUCUGGAGAGGCAAGGGGUCCAGAUGGGUUGUGGGUUUGGUUGAACCUCCUGGAGAGGCAAGGGUCUGCAGUGCGGCCUGUACUUUAGGCCCACUGUGUUUAAAAACACAGAAGAGGCAAUGGUGAGUUCUGCCCCAGUCAAGCUCCUGCCACUUGGCCCAUCAAAAAAAAAGCAUGCCCACAGCUGAACCCGACAGGGCCACGGAGAUGAGGAAGACCCAGGUUUCUGUGCUGUUUCUGCCACUCAGCUACCAUGUGACCUUGACCAAGUCACCUUGUCUCAUCAGCAUCUGUUUCCUCAUCUGUAAAAUGCAACUAAGGCUCUUAUCGAUGUGCAAACCAGGAAGAAAAUCCCAAAACACUUCUGAGUAAUCAAAAGAAAUUGCUCCAACUGUCAGUCUACCUUAUAUUCUUUACUCAGGGAAAAGCCCUUUAGAGCUCCUCCAAGAGCCUGUGUUUUCUGAAGUUUACAUAUAAUGAAAAUAUGUUUGGUUUUCUGGCUUCCUGGCCUACCACAGAUGACAAACAAUUGAUUAGCAGGGGUUGGUCCGCUAGAGAUAGACAUACUGAUGACUGACAAAAACAUAGAAGGCAACCAAGAGAGCGAGGAAGGAGAAAGAAAAAUUGUAGGGCAGAAACAAGAUCUUUAAAAGCAACACAAGCCAUUUAGUACUAUGGUAAACACUUUUACAUGUGUCAAUAGCUCCAAAGGCCCUCAUGCCUAGAGCCUAGUGUGAUAAUUGUUACUUACAAGCAGGGCUUUAUAGGCUAUUAUUUUAGAAAAAUUUCCUUCCAAAUAUUUUAAAUAAAUAAAGUUUUGAUGCUUAAAAAGAACACUCUUGGGACACCUGGGUGGCUCAGGGUUAAGCAUCUGCCUUCAGCCCAGGGCAUGAUCCUGGAGUCCCGGGAUCAAGUCUCACAUCAGGCUCCCUGCAUGGAGCCUGCUUCUCCUUCUACCUAUGUCUCUGCCUCUCUCUCUCUCUCUGUUUGUCUCUCAUGAAUAAAUAAAUAAAAUCUUUAAAAAAAAAAGAACACUCUUUGAUAUUCUGAACAUUCAGACAUGAGUAAAGAUGUACAUUAAUCCAGGAGUGCUCUGGAGGGUACAGUCA
rnacentral:lncRNA from 1 species